AAAUUAUUUGAUCAAACCGUGUGUUUUAAUAGGAGAUCGCCGAGGGGCUGUUGGAUUUGCUCUUCUUCUGAAAUUAAUGGGUUUAUUGUAAAGUUGAGUGAUCCUCCUGGUUUCCAUGCUUCCCUUUGGCAUCAGAUCCGAAUGUGUGAUUUCUGAAAGCAGGUAAGCCACUGACUAUCGCACAUUGCGUCUAUUCUCCAUUCCACUGUGCGUGUGACAGCGGCUAACCAGCUUUUGGAUGUGUCUCUGACUUCAUAUCACCGGAUCGUUUGUUGCCUUUCGUUCCUCUAGCUCAACUGGUAGAUCGUUGCACUAUCAACCCGAAGGUGAUGGGGGGGUGGGUUCGAAUCCCACAUGACCAUAAAUAGUAUAUCUUGUAAAUACUGUAAGUCACUUUGGAUAAAGGCAUCUUCCAAAUACGUUAUUGUAAAUUAUGAAGUCAGCCUAUGUGUGGGACGUCAAAGCCAUGUGCUCCAUCUGUACCAUAAAUGCUCUCAUAGCACAUGGAGCAAUAUUUUGCAUGUAACCAGCAGCUCUGAACUUUUGAACUUGUACAGUUAUGCAAGUCCAGUUACAGUAGCUGAGGGUGUGACAGAAUGAAAAAAAUCAGUAGAUUACACAUAUCUAACAAACAUAGUCUAGUCCUAUUUAGCUGUGUUUGUUAUUGCAGUGUGACCAUUAAUGUUAUUUUCCAUUCAUGGAUUUUAAAUAAAAUUAAAAACACUUGAA